UCGAUAUAAUGACGCGAGUACUUUCGCC
rnacentral:sRNA from 1 species